rnacentral:rRNA from 1 species
GGGUAACCUCAGAUCAGGUAGGGAUA